rnacentral:tRNA from 1 species
GCCCGGGUGGCGGAAUGGCAGACGCAACGGACUUAAAAUUCGUUGGCCCAAAAGGCCGUGAGGGUUCGAAUCCCUCCCCGGGCA